rnacentral:rRNA from 1 species
GGGCGCAGCCUGAUCCAGCAAUGCCGCGUGCAGGAAGAAGGCCUUCGGGUUGUAAACUGCUUUUGUACGGAACGAAAAGGCUCUGGCUAAUACCUGGAGCUCAUGACGGUACCGUAAGAAUAAGCACCGGCUAACUACRUGCCAGCGCCGCGGUAAU